rnacentral:rRNA from 1 species
CCAUGCUAGUUGCACGAGUUUAGACUCGUGGCGAAAAGCUCAGUAACACGUGGUCAAACUACCCUACGAAGACCCAUAACCUCGGGAAACUGAGGCUAAUAGGUCAUAGGAGAGUCACGCUGGAAUGCCGACUCUCCCAAACGCUCAGGCGUCGUAGGAUGUGGCUGCGGCCGAUUAGGUAGACGGUGGGGUAACGGCCCACCGUGCCGAUAAUCGGUACGGGUUGUGAGAGCAAGAGCCCGGAGACGGAAUCUGAGACAAGAUUCCGGGCCCUACGGGGCGCAGCAGGCGCGAAACCUUUACACUGCACGCAAGUGCGAUAAGGGGACCCCAAGUGCGAGGGCAUAUAGUCCUCGCUUUUUCCGACCGUAAGGUGGUCGGCGAAUAAGGGCUGGGCAAGACCGGUGCCAGCCGCCGCGGUAAUACCGGCAGCCCAAGUGAUGACCGAUAUUAUUGGGCCUAAAGCGUCCGUAGCCGGCCACGAAGGUUCAUCGGGAAAUCCGCCAGCUUAACUGGCGGGCGUCCGGUGAAAACCACGUGGCUUGGGACCGGAAGGCUCGAGGGGUACGUCCGGGGUAGGAGUGAAAUCCCGUAAUCCUGGACGGACCACCGAUGGCGAAAGCACCUCGAGAAGACGGAUCCGACGGUGAGGGACGAAAGCUAGGGUCUCGAACCGGAU